GAAUAUUGCACAAUGGGGGAAACCCUGAUGCAGCGACGCCGCGUGAGCGAUGAAGUAUUUCGGUAUGUAAAGCUCUAUCAGCAGGGAAGAGAAUGACGGUACCUGACUAAGAAGCCCCGGCUAACUACGUGCCAGCAGCCGCGGUAAUACGUAGGGGGCAAGCGUUAUCCGGAUUUACUGGGUGUAAAGGGAGCGUAGACGGCUGGCCAAGUCUGAAGUGAAAGCCCGGGGCUUAACCCCGGAACGGCUUUGGAAACUGGCCGGCUGGAGUGCUGGAGAGGCAGGCGGAAUUCCUGGUGUAGCGGUGAAAUGCGUAGAUAUCAGGAGGAACACCGGUGGCGAAGGCGGCCUGCUGGACAGUAACUGACGUUGAGGCUCGAAAGCGUGGGGAGCAAACAG
rnacentral:rRNA from 1 species